rnacentral:rRNA from 1 species
GACGAACGCUGGCGGCGUGCUUAACACAUGCAAGUCGAACGGAAAGGCCCUGCUUUUGUGGGGUGCUCGAGUGGCGAACGGGUGAGUAACACGUGAGUAAACUGCCCUUGACUUUGGGAUAACUUCAGGAAACUGGGGCUAAUACCGGAUAGGAGCUCCUGCUGCAUGGUGGGGGUUGGAAAGUUUCGGCGGUUGGGGAUGGACUAGCGGCUUAUCAGCUUGUUGGUGGGGUAGUGGCUUACCAAGGCUUUGACGGGUAGCCGGCCUGGGAGGGUGACCGGCGACAUUGGGACUGAGGUACGGCCCAGACUCCUACGGGAGGCAGAAGUGGGAAAUAUUGCACAAUGGGCGGAAGCCUGAUGCAGCAACGCCGCGUGCGGGAUGACGGCCUUCGGGUUGUAAACCGCUUUCGCCUGUGACGAAGCGUGAGUGACGGUAAUGGGUAAAGAAGCACCGGCUAACUACGUG